UAAAUUCCUUCACAAAUAGACUCUACUGGC
rnacentral:piRNA from 1 species